rnacentral:rRNA from 1 species
ACCGGAGCUUGCUCCACCGGAAAAAGAGGAGUGGCGAACGGGUGAGUAACACGUGGGUAACCUGCCCAUCAGAAGGGGAUAACACUUGGAAACAGGUGCUAAUACCGUAUAACAAUCGAAACCGCAUGGUUUUGAUUUGAAAGGCGCUUUCGGGUGUCGCUGAUGGAUGGACCCGCGGUGCAUUAGCUAGUUGGUGAGGUAACGGCUCACCAAGGCCACGAUGCAUAGCCGACCUGAGAGGGUGAUCGGCCACAUUGGGACUGAGACACGGCCCAAACUCCUACGGGAGGCAGCAGUAGGGAAUCUUCGGCAAUGGACGAAAGUCUGACCGAGCAACGCCGCGUGAGUGAAGAAGGUUUUCGGAUCGUAAAACUCUGUUGUUAGAGAAGAACAAGGAUGAGAGUAACUGUUCAUCCCUUGACGGUAUCUAACCAGAAAGCCACGGCUAACUACGUGCCAGCAGCCGCGGUAAUACGUAGGUGGCAAGCGUUGUCCGGAUUUAUUGGGCGUAAAGCGAGCGCAGGCGGUUUCUUAAGUCUGAUGUGAAAGCCCCCGGCUCAA